rnacentral:rRNA from 1 species
GAUGAACGCUGGCGGCGUGCCUAAUACAUGCAAGUCGAGCGAACAGACGAGGAGCUUGCUCCUUCGACGUUAGCGGCGGACGGGUGAGUAACACGUAGGUAACCUACCUAUAAGACUGGGAUAACUUCGGGAAACCGGAGCUAAUACCGGAUAAUAUUUCGAACCGCAUGGUUCGAUAGUGAAAGAUGGCUUUGCUAUCACUUAUAGAUGGACCUGCGCCGUAUUAGCUAGUUGGUAAGGUAACGGCUUACCAAGGCAACGAUACGUAGCCGACCUGAGAGGGUGAUCGGCCACACUGGAACUGAGACACGGUCCAGACUCCUACGGGAGGCAGCAGUAGGGAAUCUUCCGCAAAGGGCGAAAGCCUGACGGAGCAACGCCGCGUGAGUGAUGAAGGUCUUCGGAUCGUAAAACUCUGUUAUUAGGGAAGAACAAACGUGUAAGUAACUGUGCACGUCUUGACGGUACCCAAUCAGAAAGCCACGGCUAACUACGUG